rnacentral:rRNA from 1 species
AGAGAUGUGGAGGAACACCAGUGGCGAAGGCGACUCUCUGGUCUGUAACUGACGCUGAGGCGCGAAAGCGUGGGGAGCGAACAGGAUUAGAUACCCUGGUAGUCCACGCCGUAAACGAUGAGUGCUAAGUGUUAGAGGGUUUCCGCCCUUUAGUGCUGCAGCAAACGCAUUAAGCACUCCGCCUGGGGAGUACGGUCGCAAGACUGAAACUCAAAGGAAUUGACGGGGGCCCGCACAAGCGGUGGAGCAUGUGGUUUAAUUCGAAGCAACGCGAAGAACCUUACCAGGUCUUGACAUCCUCUGACAACCCUAGAGAUAGGGCUUCCCCUUCGGGGGCAGAGUGACAGGUGGUGCAUGGUUGUCGUCAGCUCGUGUCGUGAGAUGUUGGGUUAAGUCCCGCAACGAGCGCAACCCUUGAUCUUAGUUGCCAGCAUUCAGUUGGGCACUCUAAGGUGACUGCCGGUGACAAACCGGAGGAAGGUGGGGAUGACGUCAAAUCAUCAUGCCCCUUAUGACCUGGGCUACACACGUGCUACAAUGGGCAGAACAAAGGGCAGCGAAGCCGCGAGGCUAAGCCAAUCCCACAAAUCUGUUCUCAGUUCGGAUCGCAGUCUGCAACUCGACUGCGUGAAGCUGGAAUCGCUAGUAAUCGCGGAUCAG